UACAGAGGUCUCAAGCGUUGUUCGGAAUCACUGGGCGUAAAGGGUGCGUAGGCGGCUUGGUAAGUCAGAUGUGAAAGCUCAGGGCUCAACCCUGAAAUUGCAUCCGAUACUGCCAGGCUAGAGAACUGGAGAGGUGUCUAGAAUUCUCGGUGUAGCAGUGAAAUGCGUAGAUAUCGAGAGGAAUACCAAUGGCGAAGGCAGGACACUGGACAGUAUCUGACGCUGAGGCACGAAGGCUAGGGUAGCGAACGGG
rnacentral:rRNA from 1 species